UGUUGGAUAGCUCAGUUGGUAGAGC
rnacentral:tRNA from 1 species